rnacentral:rRNA from 1 species
GACAGAGGGUGCAAACGUUGUUCGGAAUUACUGGGCGUAAAAGCGCGUGUAGGCUGCUCUGCAAGUCGGAUGUGAAAGCCCUGGGCUCAACCUAGGAAGUGCAUUCGAAACUGCAGAGCUGGAGUCCUGGAGAGGAAGGCGGAAUUCUCGGUGUAGAGGUGAAAUUCGUAGAUAUCGAGAGGAACAUCCGGUGGCGAAGGCGGCCUUCUGGACAGUGACUGACGCUGGAGACGCGAAAGCGUGGGGAGCAAACAGG